AAAACUUUCAACAACGGAUCUCUUGGUUCUGGCAUCGAUGAAGAACGCAGCGAAAUGCGAUAAGUAAUGUGAAUUGCAGAAUUCAGUGAAUCAUCGAAUCUUUGAACGCACAUUGCGCCCUUGGUAUUCCGAGGGGCAUGCCUGUUCGAGCGUCAUUACACCACUCAAGCCUCGCUUGGUAUUGGGCGCCGCGGUCCGCCGCGCGCCUCAAUGUUUCCGGCUGAGCUCUCCGUCUCUAAGCGUUGUGGUUAAAACUAUCCGCUUGCGAAAUUGGGGGGCGUCUGGCCGUUAAACCAUUACUCAAAGGUUGACCUCGGAUCAGGUAGG
rnacentral:rRNA from 1 species